rnacentral:piRNA from 1 species
UGGGAAAUUGUCAUACAUUACCAAGUGCA